rnacentral:rRNA from 1 species
CAGUAGCCGCGGUAAUACGUAGGGUGCGAGCGUUAAUCGGAAUUACUGGGCGUAAAGCGCACGCAGGCGGUCUGACAAGUCAGAUGUGAAAUCCCCGGGCUUAACCUGGGAACUGCAUUUGAAACUGUCAGGCUGGAGUCUUGUAGAGGGGGGUAGAAUUCCAGGUGUAGCGGUGAAAUGCGUAGAGAUCUGGAGGAAUACCGGUGGCGAAGGCGGCCCCCUGGACAAAGACUGACGCUCAGGUGCGAAAGCGUGGGGAGUAAACAGGAUUAGAUACCCGUGUAGUCCCUGUCUCUUAUAC